rnacentral:rRNA from 1 species
GACGAACGCUGGCGGCGUGCUUAACACAUGCAAGUCGAACGGAAAGGCCCUGCUUUUGUGGGGUGCUCGAGUGGCGAACGGGUGAGUAACACGUGAGUAACCUGCCCUUGACUUUGGGAUAACUUCAGGAAACUGGGGCUAAUACCGGAUAGGAGCUCCUGCUGCAUGGUGGGGGUUGGAAAGUUUCGGCGGUUGGGGAUGGACUCGCGGCUUAUCAGCUUGUUGGUGGGGUAGUGGCUUACCAAGGCUUUGACGGGUAGCCGGCCUGAGAGGGUGACCGGCCACAUUGGGACUGAGAUACGGCCCAGACUCCUACGGGAGGCAGCAGUGGGGAAUAUUGCACAAUGGGCGGAAGCCUGAUGCAGCAACGCCGCGUGCGGGAUGACGGCCUUCGGGUUGUAAACCGCUUUCACCUGUGACGAAGCGUGAGUGACGGUAAUGGGUAAAGAAGCACCGGCUAACUACGUGCCAGCAGCCGCGGUGAUACGUAGGGUGCGAGCGUUGUCCGGAUUUAUUGGGCGUAAAGGGCUCGUAGGUGGUUGAUCGCGUCGGAAGUGUAAUCUUGGGGCUUAACCCUGAGCGUGCUUUCGAUACGGGUUGACUUGAGGAAGGUAGGGGAGAAUGGAAUUCCUGGUGGAGCGGUGGAAUGCGCAGAUAUCAGGAGGAACACCAGUGGCGAAGGCGGUUCUCUGGGCCUUUCCUGACGCUGAGGAGCGAAAGCGUGGGGAGCGAACAGGCUUAGAUACCCUGGUAGUCCACGCUGUAAACGGUGGGUACUAGGUGUGGGGUCCAUUCCACGGGUUCCGUGCCGUAGCUAACGCUUUAAGUACCCCGCCUGGGGAGUACGGCCGCAAGGCUAAAACUCAAAGGAAUUGACGGGGCCCCGCACAAGCGGCGGAGCAUGCGGAUUAAUUCGAUGCAACGCGUAGAACCUUACCUGGGUUUGACAUGGAUCGGGAGUGCUCAGAGAUGGGUGUGCCUCUUUUGGGGUCGGUUCACAGGUGGUGCAUGCCUGUCGUCAGCUCGUGUCGUGAGAUGUUGGGUUAAGUCCCGCAACGAGCGCAACCCUUGUUCACUGUUGCCAGCACGUUAUGGUGGGGACUCAGUGGAGACCGCCGGGGUCAACUCGGAGGAAGGUGGGGAUGACGUCAAGUCCUCAUGCCCCUUAUGUCCAGGGCUUCACGCAUGCUACAAUGGCUGGUACAGAGAGUGGCGAGCCUGUGAGGGUGAGCGAAUCUCGGAAAGCCGGUCUCAGUUCGGAUUGGGGUCUGCAACUCGACCUCAUGAAGUCGGAGUCGCUAGUAAUCGCAGAUCAGCAACGCUGCGGUGAAUACGUUCCCGGGGCU